AAAUAAGGGGUCUCCGUAGGUGACCUGCGGAGGGAUCAUU
rnacentral:rRNA from 1 species